rnacentral:misc_RNA from 1 species
ACGAGGUUUGAAUUCUCUCGAAUUCAUCUUCCCAUCCUGUGAUUAUACCACAUCUUUUGUUUCUUGGUUGGCACUGAGUUGACUGUUGUCGUCUCAGGUAAGACCGACCAAACUACCAAAUUCUUGAAAAUUAUGAAUUGUCUAAACUUUUUAUUGCAAAAUAAAACA